rnacentral:tRNA from 1 species
NUUAGUUAAUGAGCUUGACAUAAGCAUAUGUUUUGAAAACAUAAGAUAGAAAUAAUUAUUCUAUUAACUUAUAACAAAUU